ACCUUUUGACAUGCCUGGACCGCCACGGAGACGUGGCUUUCCCUUCGGGGACUAGGACACAGGUGCUGCAUGGCUGUCGUCAGCUCGUGUCGUGAGAUGUUGGGUUAAGUCCCGCAACGAGCGCAACCCUCGCCAUUAGUUGCCAUCAUUUAGUUGGGAACUCUAAUGGGACUGCCGGUGCUAAGCCGGAGGAAGGUGGGGAUGACGUCAAGUCCUCAUGGCCCUUACAGGGUGGGCUA
rnacentral:rRNA from 1 species